ACGCAUUUAAGAUAUAAGCCCUUCCUCUCUUAUAUCGAUACGGCUCCUAGGCCGCGCCACUAAACACUAGCGUCUGCUGGUAUCUU
rnacentral:sRNA from 1 species